CGACUUAGUGCGGUAUCUUUUCUGAAUUUCUCCGACAGUCGAAUUUUUGACCUGGUGCGAUGCUUUUCUAAACUCCCCCAACUGUCGAGCUAUGAUAACGCCCUUCCAGACUUCUCCAAUGACGAACUUCUUCAGUCGUCCAUCGAACUGCUUCAAAUGCUCUCCGGACUUCACUAUCUACCGACCUUCUACAAUGAUCGACCGUUCUCCGGACCUCUUCCAGAUCUCAUCCAGCCAUGAUGGAUUCUAAUCCGAAUUUCUCAAACUUCGUCCAUGGCCAAAUUUCCCCAAGGAUAGAUUUCUACAGCACCCAACUCCACCCAUAUUUCUACGACGGUCGACCGCCUUUCUGAUUUCAUCCGAGCUCCUACGGGAGCCGGACCACUGCCCCGAAUUCCUAUUGCAGGUAGACUUCAUCCGAGCCCCUACUACAAAUAGUCUACUCCGAACUCCUACUAUGAAUGGUCUACUCCGAACUUCCACUACGAGUGGUCUGCCCCGAACU
rnacentral:lncRNA from 1 species